rnacentral:lncRNA from 1 species
GAAAAGCAGUAAAUAAAUAAAUAAAUAAAUAAAAGCAAGCAAACAAGGAAGCACACAAAAUCCUAAAACCGGAGGUUAGGAUGGACUCUCUUUAGGGAAGGUAUACAGGUCCCCAGCAGAGUCGCCAGCUGUCGCGGCUGGAAAAAUGACAGAGUCGCCACCAUCCUUUAUUCAUUCCUAAGGAAUAGGGAAAUAAUGAUAAAAACCUAAUGACUAAGGGUGAGAGACUAGGUUCGGGAGUC